rnacentral:rRNA from 1 species
GAGUUUGAUCCUGGCUCAGGACGAACGCUGGCGGUGCGCCUUAUGCAUGCAAGUCGAGCGAAGCUUUUCAGUAGUUUACUACAGAAAAUGACUGAGCGGCGAACGGGUGAGUAACGCGUGAGCAACCUACCUUAGUUACUGGGAUAGCCCGAGGAAACUCGGAUUAAUACCGGAUAUUCUUAUUUAAUCACAUGAUUUUUUAAGGAAAGGUCAGCCGAACUAAGAUGGGCUCGCGUUCUAUCAGCUAGUUGGUAGGGUAAUGGCCUACCAAGGCUACGACGGAUAGCUGGUCUGAGAGGACGAUCAGCCACACUGGGACUGAGACACGGCCCAGACUCCUACGGGAGGCUGCAGCAGGGAAUAUUGCGCAAUGAGCGAAAGCUUGACGCAGCGACACCGCGUGUGGGAUGACGGAUCUAGGUUUGUAAACCACUUUCAGGAGGGAAGAAAAUGACGGUACCUCCACAAGAAGCCCCGGCCAACUACGUGCCAGCAGCCGCGGUAAUACGUAGGGGGCGAGCGUUGUCCGGAUUUAUUGGGCGUAAAGAGCUCGUAGGCGGUUCAACAAGUCGGUCGUGAAAGUUCAGGGCACAACCCUGAAAUGUCGAUCGAUACUGUUGUGACUAGGAUACGGUAGAGGUGAGUGGAAUUCCGAGUGUAGCGGUGAAAUGCGUAGAUAUUCGGAGGAACACCGAUUGCGAAGGCAGCUCACUGGGCCGCUAUCGACGCUGAGGAGCGAAAGCUAGGGGAGCAAACAGGAUUAGAUACCCUGGUAGUCCUAGCUGUAAACGAUGGAUACUAGACGUAG